rnacentral:lncRNA from 1 species
CGCAUUUGAGGCAUGCUCUCGCUUUUUUUCCAACAGUUUCCCAGAUGGCGCUUCUUACAAUGCCCACAAGUCGAAACAUCCGCGCCACCACAUGAACCUUUCACAUUAUGCUGUUGACACUCAAUUGCAUUCUCCCACACUUCGAAGACCGAGGUUCCAACCUUGAAGGACUGCAAUCUCUUUUCUUCCCACAAUCAAUGCACCUACCUUGAACCAUCUCUUUAUUCAUUUCUAUGCUAGCCUCGAACACAUUCU